rnacentral:rRNA from 2 species
GACGAACCGUGCGAACGUUGUUCGGAAUCACUGGGCUUAAAGGGCGCGUAGGCGGCUUGCCAAGUCCGGGGUGAAAUCCUCCAGCUUAACUGGAGAAGUGCCUUGGAUACUGGCGAGCUCGAGCGAGGCAGGGGUGAUGGGAACUUCCGGUGGAGCGGUGAAAUGCGUUGAUAUCGGAAGGAACGCCGGUGGCGAAAGCGCAUCACUGGUCCUCUUCUGACGCUGAGGCGCGAAAGCCAGGGGAGCAAACGGG